rnacentral:rRNA from 1 species
GCUCAGGACGAACGCUGGCGGCGUGCUUAACACAUGCAAGUCGAACGGAAAGGCUCCAGCUUGCUGGAGUACUCGAGUGGCGAACGGGUGAGUAACACGUGGGCAAUCUGCCCUGCACUCUGGGAUAAGCCUGGGAAACUGGGUCUAAUACUGGAUAGGACCUUUCUCCUCAUGGGGUUUGGUGGAAAGUUUUUCGGUGCAGGAUGAGCCCGCGGCCUAUCAGCUUGUUGGUGGGGUAAUGGCCUACCAAGGCGACGACGGGUAGCCGGCCUGAGAGGGUGAUCGGCCACAUUGGGACUGAGAUACGGCCCAGACUCCUACGGGAGGCAGCAGUA